CCUACGGGCGGCUGCAGUGGGGAAUAUUGCACAAUGGGGGAAACCCUGAUGCAGCGACGCCGCGUGAGUGAAGAAGUAUCUCGGUACGUAAAGCUCUAUCAGCAGGGAAGAAAAUGACGGUACCUGACUAAGAAGCACCGGCUAACUACGUGCCAGCAGCCGCGGUAAUACGUAGGGCGCAAGCGUUAUCCGGAUUUACUGGGUGUAAAGGGAGCGUAGACGGCAGCACAAGUCUGGAGUGAAAUCCCGGGGCUUAACCCCAGAACUGCUUUUGAAACUGUGCGGCUGGAGUGCAGGAGGGGUAGGCGGAAUUCUUGGUGUAGCGGUGAAAUGCGUAGAGAUUAGGAGGAACACUGAUGGCGAAGGCGGCGUACUGGACUGUAACUGACGUUGAGGCUCGAAAGCGUGGGGAGCAAACAGGAUUAGAUACCCCAGUAGUC
rnacentral:rRNA from 1 species